UGCACGGGAUCCCGGAGGGAACCCCGCUUAUUCCCCGGGCGAGAAAAGCACGGGCCCGAUCGAGCCGGGGAAAUCAAGCGCGAUGUUUGGACAGAUUCGUUGGGGAGGUAUCCCUGCCCUACCCGCGUCGUUUCCCUGGGGAAACGUUCCACGCCUCCAGGGGUCGGGGAGAGAAGCCACGGCUCGAGCGAGACCGCGAGCGCAGCGACCGAAAGGCGACGACGGCCAAGAUCCAGUCCUUCGCCUCCGAGUUUCUCCGGCAGCGACCGGAAAGACGGACCGCCCCCUCCCUCCGGUGCUCCGCCUGCAUGCUCCGCCCACCAGCGACCGCGACGGCCGUGGUCGUCACCCUCCUCCUUCCCCAGAUCUACCCUCCUCCUCGAAGUUCCUGCCCCUCCGGUGACGGCAACGGCGACGGUUCCACGGUCAACUUCCACCUACUUCCACUAAGAGGCUGUCUAGGUGCUGUUUUGGUGUUUCCCGUGGUGCACAUGUGUGCUGCCUUUCCUACAGUGCUCUGAACCUCUGACAUUAGCAAAUGAUUUGCUUUAUCCGAAAAUGCUAGGUGGUGGCGGCGGCGUUGUGUUCAGUGGCUAAGUGCAUUUUGGUUCGUUGGUCAUUGAAAAUAUUUCACCUGAUGAAAGGGUCUUGCUUAAGCAAGAGAAAGUACUGCCAAGUAUCAACUAGCUAGUUACAGAUUCACUCAUCAGGGAAGUAACUUGUAACAGCAGUGGAGUGCGGGCAUGUGCCAUAUAUCUAUUAGUAAUUUAGUACUUUCAUCGUGCUUGUGCUAGCUCCAGGUUUGAAUCUUCCUUAGCACACUAUUUUUAGAAGUGAUGCUUACUGUUGGUUAGGGUCUUCUGAAGAACAAUAACAAUUUUUUAUAUUUGUUGCACAAGUUCUGCUAUGCAUUCAUUUACACUUACGACACUGCCGGAGAAUACAUUGUUUGUGAAUUGUUUGUUAGACUGCCUUACAUCCUUUUAUAGAUAGACGCCUUUAAUUCUCUGCACUAAAAAGUCCAUGUUUGUUUUGUCCUUACUUUCCCCAUUAUACAUUUUUUGUCCCCAUUUUUACUAAUUUUGGAAUUAUAUAUUGACGGGAAGCUUGACAAUAAUGAUCUAUUGCUUAUCAUCUUCCUUUCUUCUGUCCUUACUUAUUUAGUAAUUAUUACUGAAAUGUAUGACACAAUAACCAGAAAUAGAAGUUAGUAUUCUGGCUCUUAUCUUUUUUUCUCAACAAGUUCUGCUGAUUGUUAUUAAAAAUCUAAGCUAUAGUCAUCAUGUGCUCAUGUAAUUGUUACAAUUCUCAGUUGGAUACAUGGUGCUAACUUCCUUUUUUUGUAGUUCAACGAACAUCGAGUUGUGGUACCUGAUGUAGAUGCGGAGUGGAGAAAAGACCUGAGUAGGACUAUUGAUUUUCACCUUGCAGCCCAUCCUAUUCGAAAGUGUCUAUGCCUCGGACAUGACAAUUUGAUAAUUCAGAAUUUUUGUAGUGAACAAACUUAAACAAUGAUGCAUCAAUGCCAAUUGUAUUGAUUGCUUUUAUGUUGGAACACAAAAAAAGGUUUAGCUCACCGCUUAAUCGGAAUGAAAUGCGGACCGAUGGGUAUUUGAACCUUGGUGAAGUGAUGGAUAUCAGUUGUAUUUUUUAAUAAAAUUAUAGUUUACAUGAA